rnacentral:lncRNA from 1 species
UUUUUUUGGUUGUAGUUGGACACAAUACCUUUAUUUUAUUUAUUUAUUUUUUUAGUGUGGUGCUGAGGAUCGAACCCAGUGCCUUGCACGUGCUAGACGAGCGUCUACCAUUGAGCCACAAUCCCAGCCCCUAAAGGAUAGCUUUUUAAAACAAGGUAUAUCACAACUUUCAUGGAGCUAUAAUAUAAAUGUGUCAGAGAUUUUAUUUAACUCGCUUAAUAAUGAGGGAACUAGUAGAAGUUACAACAGGCUCAAACGAGGGUUGAAUUUAGAGAUUUAUAUUCUCUGUCAAACUAUCCAAUAAUCCAAUACAGGCAUUGCCAUAUAGAAUAUUCUUAUGGACAUAAAACAUUUGUACUAUUAUUGGUUUGCUACAAGUAUACUUCGACCCCUGUAGAGCUGUAAAAUGAGGUUUGUCAAAGACAACCAAAGCUGGAAUUAGCCCAAAUGGUUGAGCUAAACAAGAUACCACUGACCUCUUUUGUUGCUCAAUUCGAAGUCUCGUGACUUUUCUUAAUAGAAUUUAAGUUUACGGGAAGAUGUGUUCCUAAAGAGCACUAGAGAAUGUUGGAAAAUCUUAAUGGAUACUUACUGAGUAUUCACAAUAUGUGUGUGUGUGGCGGGGAGAACAAGGAUAUUUUCUUAUGUCAUUUCAUGUUCCUUAAACAAACGAGCAUCAAAAAAUAAAAUUACAAUAAUUUUGUUUAAAGAUGGUAACUUGCUUUAAUUUAGAUUCCAGAAUCAAGCAACUUCAAUCCAUGAAACCUAAGUGUUCCAAUGAGCCAAGCAGAGAAGAUUGGCUUAUAGGAACAAAAAGACUGAAAAAAGCAGACACAAAAAUCAAAACAUGGAUUAGUUAUUUCAAAGCUACUCUCCCUGUAAAGCCAGGACAGGAGAUAGAACAACAGAAAAAUAACUAACUCAUGGGUUAACCUCAGAUUAUUUCAGAUUACUUCUUACAAGGAUUAAACCAGAAGGAACUUCAUUAUCAUACAAAAGAAACUGGAUUGUAGUUUAGCAUGGUGGCACAUGACUGUAAGACUAGGUACUGGAGAGGCUGAGGCAGGAGGAUGACAAGUUCAAGGCCAGGCUGAACAACUUAGCUAAACCCUGUCUCAAAAUAAACAGUUGGGAUGUAGCUCAGUGGCAGAGCACUUGCCUAGCAAUGUGCCAAACCUUAGAUUCAAU